AAUAUACCAACCAACCAAUUAGAUAUUCAAAUUGCUUCUCAAUAGAAAUAUCACAAAGAAUUCAAGUAAAAGCGAACAGUCACUUAAUCAACAGUUGUUCAACUUCAACAAAGACACAUCAACAUUCAACACAAUACUACUACAAAAUAACAAAGAGGGUUUUGAAUUUUGAUUAUUUGCCACCACGUGUGUUUGAAGAUCGUUGUUGNNN
rnacentral:lncRNA from 1 species